rnacentral:tRNA from 1 species
GCUAAUCUGGCCGAGAGGUUAAGGCGUUACGUUCAGGUCGUAAUGGACAGUAGUCCUCGCGGGUUCGAAUCCCGCGGUUAGUA